rnacentral:tRNA from 1 species
ACCUUACUGGCUCAGUUGGUAGAGCAUUUGACUCUUGAUCUUGGGGUCAUGAGUUCAAGCCCCAUAUUGGGUG